CCCUUAGAUGUUCUGGGCCGCACGCGCGCUACACUGAUGCAUUCAACGAGCCUAGCCUUGACCGAGAGGUCCGGGUAAUCUUUGAAACUGCAUCGUGAUGGGGCUAGAUUAUUGCGAUUAUUAAUCUUCAACGAGGAAUGCCUAGUAAGCGUGAUUCAUCAAAUCGCGUUGAUUACGUCCCUGCCCUUUGUACACACCGCCCGUCGCUCCUACCGAUUGAGUGUGUUGGUGAGGAGUUUGGAUUGGCCUCGGAAGGUGGUUCGCCACCGUCCGUAGCUGAGAAGUUCUCCAAACCGCCCCACUUAGAGGAAGGAGAAGUCGUAACA
rnacentral:rRNA from 1 species